rnacentral:tRNA from 1 species
GCGGAUAUGGCGGAAUUGGCAGACGCGCUAGAUUUAGGUUCUAGUGUCCCGAGACGUGCAGGUUCAAGUCCUGUUAUCCGCA